rnacentral:rRNA from 1 species
UGGGGAAUUUUUGGACAAUGGGCGAAAGCCUGAUCCAGCAAUGCCGCGUGUGUGAAGAAGGCCUUCGGGUUGUAAAGCACUUUUGUCCGGAAAGAAAUCCUCUGGGUUAAUACCUCGGGGGGAUGACGGUACCGGAAGAAUAAGCACCGGCUAACUACGUGCCAGCAGCCGCGGUAAUACGUAGGGUGCAAGCGUUAAUCGGAAUUACUGGGCGUAAAGCGUGCGCAGGCGGUUUUGUAAGACGGAUGUGAAAUCCCCGGGCUUAACCUGGGAACUGCAUUCGUGACUGCAAGGCUAGAGUAUGGCAGAGGGGGGUAGAAUUCCACGUGUAGCAGGUGAAAUGCGUAGAGAUGUGGAGGAAUACCGAUGGCGAAGGCAGCCCCCCUGGGCCAAUACUGACGCUCAUGCACGAAAGCGUGGGGAGCAAACAGGAUUAGAU